UUGUGACUAAAAGACUUGACAAGAAAAAUCUUAGAGAAAAAAAAAGGUUUUUUGUGACUCAUGGUUUCAAAAGUCUCAGUCAUAGAGAGCCCAGUCCUUUCUUCUGGGUGAGGUGAGGCAAAACAUCAGGGUGGAAAGUCAUGGGAAAGGAAAGCAGCUCCUGGCAAACAGGAAGCAGAGAGCUCUGUUCACCAAGGACAAAACAUAAACCCCAAAGGCACGUCCCUAUUAACUUACUUCCUCCAAUCACACCCUACCUGCUUACAGUUACCACAUAGCUUAAUUCCUAUCAGUGUUCAGUUUGCUGAUUAGAUUAAGGCUCUUAUAACUCAAUUAUUCCACCUUUAGACUUGCAUUAUCUUACACACAGACAGAUCUUAUUUUAACAAAUACUGUUCAAUAUUUUGGAAAUGCCAGUUUUUCACUCUUUCCUAUAGUAUUCUUCUGGUUUAUUAAAACAUGAUUCUCAAUAAAUAUUUUAGGAUGUGAUCCUUUGAAACAUAAUCUUUUAGAAAAAAAAUUAGGCAAAAUCAUUUCGAGAAGAAACUUCUUUUUCAAAAGAGGUGGAAGUCUCUGUGCAAAAUCACUCAAGAAAAUCAACAACACAAGAAUAUCAAAACAAACAACCCCAAUAAUCCAAAAUCAUACUUUUCUUCUGUUUAUCCUUUCUUGAUGGAAUGACUUAAUGGUAAUAAUUUCAGCCAAACAUGUAUAGAUCAUUUUAUUUUUAAAAUUUUCUUAGAGAUUAUUUGUCUUGCUCCAUCAAUUUCAUAACUAAAAGCAACUGCAACAUUUUUGUAGCUUUCAAGUGAAAAACAAUAGAGUUUAUGAAGCUUUCUCAUGAAGUGUUUAAUAUACUUAAGGGUUUUAUAUAUCUUCAAAUGUUCUAAAAUCUGUUCUUUAAAUUUAAAAAAAAAACUUAACCAUAAAUUAUCUUAAGUAAAUUUUACUCAUGAUAAUUUAUUUUGCUUUAAGAACUAGUCAAGCUAUGUAGACUGAGAACAAAUGAGAAACCAAAAGAUGUCAUAGGGCCAACACACUAGGAAAAUGUAUAAUAAGUGAAAAUAACUCAGAGCAAGAUACAUUUAAAUAAAAAAAAAACUAAACAUAUAACUCUAAUAUUAUUUGUAGGGACAUACUUAUUUACACUCAGAGAGGAAGAUUAAGGGCCCAAAGUUUACAUAAAUAUCCAUACAUUUUCUAGUUCCUGAAAUUACCUAUAAUGAACAAUUUGAAAAAUAUUCUCAUCUAACUUUUGCUAGCAGCCCCAAAUCCCCUAGCAGAGAAGAUACAUUGUAUCAGCUACUUCAUCAAUUUUUAUAUAUCCUCUAGCCAUUUUUUAGGAUUAGCCCAAGAUGACCCUUUUGAAUUUCUAGAUCAUGACAUUAAAAAACAGUGACAGUUAGCCCAGGGCUGGCAGUUGCAGUUACCUUCCUUCAGUUAAUGUUAAGGCUAUGAAGUCAGCUUCAGGGAAGAGACACAUAGCUUCUAUUUUCUCACUCUAAAAUUAUUUUUGCUGAGAAAUGAUCCUCAUAGAUCAAGAGUAAAAAAAAAUUCUAUUAAGAAAGACUCCUCCAAACAGGUCCAAUCAACUUAAUAUGGAUAUAAUACAUCAGUGUAAAACAAGAUUCCUGCAGAAGUCAGUGAACCAAUGUGGAGAUUCUAUCAGGUUUCAAGUGUGUCUGUUGUGGUUAUGCAUUCCAUCACUGGGGAAAUAUCCAAAGAAUAUGUUUGGUAACGAGCUAUACCCAGUACCAGACAGAACUGCGCUACAAAAUCAUUGGUCAUCUGACUUUCAGAAGUCCCUUCUCUGACAAAUGGACCACAAUGAUAUUUUAUGUCUCCAGACAUUCAUUUCAUUUCAAAAAGAAUGCCCAAUAAUUCCCAGUCUUCUUAUUUCCUUCACCUACCUAAAACAGAGUAUCUGCUUACUUAUGCAUAUAUCAGUAAUACAGUUUGAUACAAUCUUAUGUUUCCUAUCAUAGUCUAGUAGCCUUAAAAUCAAUUUUCAUAUAUAACCUCUAAAUUUCUGCCUGUAUAAGUGAGAAAUUUUAUGCAGUUAUUUUGAUGUGUAGCAUUGCAAAUUCCUGCAUUAUUCCUUGUACCUUAACCUUUGGAACAUGCUGGGACUUGAGUCUAGUUACAGAUCUAGAGGCAAAUUGGGUGGUGUGGGUAGGUCCUGGGAAGAAUCAAUGAUAGCUUGCAAAUCAGCAAUUUCAUUAUCCAUGACAAUCUCUUUUAUUUAAAGUUAAAUGUUUAUGAGCUUUAAUCACAUCUACAAAAUAUCUUCUCAGCAAUGUGUAAAUUAAUGUUUGAUGGUGAACUAAGGUACUGCCACAUUGACACAUAAUCACAAUUUCUUUCCACUGAGUUUAUUCAUACAGUUAAUGCCUCACAAGCUGAGUCAUUCAGAGUUCUUCUGAGAAUUUUGGAAAUGCCUCCAGAAAAGUGUCUUUCUAAUUGUUGAAGAUACAACAUACCAAGUUUGGGCGCUGACACUGUGCUGUUCUCUGCUUUGUGGACCAGUGAAGCAUAAAUUGCCAAGAUGCAAAAUAAUAGAGGAAUGUAUAAGUGCACAGAGAGGAAGAGAUGUAUGGAUCAAAAUUUGCUAACUCUGCCGAUGUAGCUUUCUCUCAUUUUUCCUGAGGUCUAAGAAUAUCCAUAUCCUUGUAUUUCAUGACAAACCUCUGUGUCUGGGUAAUACAUUUUCCCUUUUUUCUAAGCUUAUUUAGAUUUAGGUUUCUUUCACUUGGAAGAAAAAAAAAUAUUCUAAUUUCAUCAGGCUUUCAAAGACAGUAUUCUGGAGAAAAAAAUGUACAGUAUAAAAAUGCAAAGUAAUGCAUAAAUAUAAAGCAAAACAGGCAACUUUUAAUAAAAUAAUGAAAGACAAUGUGUGUGUUCUAAAUCCCAAACUCUGGAGUCAGAUAUGGUUGCUUCAAAUGAAGCCAGUUAAAGAACCAUAUAUACAUUCAUCAAAAAUUUUUACUCUGUGUCUAACACUGUUCUUGGCAUGGUGUAUAUUAAGUAUACAAUACCUACUCAUUUGAGCUUAAGAACUGAUGAAUUUUCCAUGUUUACUACUUUCUAGGACUCUGUGGAAACUGAGGCUUAUAUGAAGUGCCCUAAUCAAAGCCACAGUAAGGUUAUGCCACUUCCAUAGGCAUGAUAAAGACCUGAAACAAGAUGCACAUUAAGUCUUGAGCAAGUUGCUUGGCACACAAUUAGCGCUUAAAGUAAGUGGGUAUAUUUCCAAUAUUAGUUAGCAUUAGAGUCACUUUCAGCUUAGAUGAUCAAGACUUCAGGUUAAGGACAAAAGGCUAUGUGAUUGUGGCAAGGACUAGCAGAUAUCUACACUAUUUUCAUUCUCUGUCCUACUGAAUUUUCUUCAGGGUUCUUAAUUUUAUUCAGGGUGUUAAUAUGCCCAUUAAAAACAUCAUAUUUUUCAAGUUUCUGUUGCAGCUUGAUUUGGCUAUAUAUUCAGUUCUGGAGAUAUAAGUGGUUCUGCUGGGAAAUUUCAUCUAUAAAAUGUGGGAGACACAUUUUUUAUGGGUCUUCUUUCUCUGGUCUCUUUCCUGGAAAUUCUAUAUCAUAGACAGCUGCAGACUCCAUCUUGUAUGCUGCUGGAUUGAACUGUACAUGCUGAACAGCAAAGCAUAAAUAAAGAUUGCACAGAGCUCCCAAUCAAGCAUCAACUGCCAAACUUGGGAUCUUUAUGUGAAAUAAUAACCUAGGUUAUAUUUAAUCUUUUAUAGUUUGUUGUCUAUUAUUAGCAGCAAAACAAUUUAUAACUGAAGCCGUAACUUUUAGUAAAUAAAAAAAUAAAGUUAGCAUAAAAAAGAUUUUGAAAGUCGUAAAGGAAAAAAAAAUGUGAAUGGUUCUCACUAUGCUUGCUUCUCCCUCUAUUUUCUUGACCGUGAAGUCUUGCUCCAAAUUGAAAAAGUAAUUAGCAUUAAAAGAAGGGGACAUACACUAGGAGAAUAUCACUUAGAUUUUUAGGGACAAAUAAAAAGUCCUUGUUGAAGACUAGAGGAAACCAACAAGAAUAAAGAUCACAUGCCAAUCAGAGAUAAGGAGCUACUUGCAAGUAAAGGUUAAAGCAUUUAAACCCCAAGAUCUGGAAAUACCCUGCCAGUACUGGUACACUUCCUUGGCAUUUAUCUUGUCAUUUAAAAUCUUCACAGCAUGCAAUGUAUUGAGCUUAGUCUUCAUGCUCUAUAGGAUAUUAGAAGACAUAGUGAAAAAACUAGAGAGGGAGAAGAGGAAAAAGAGACAGGCAGCAGGGAGACAGGACCUCCAUUAUGGCACACAAUGAGAAAAGUCCUGGGGCUCAGCUGCAGAAACACACAUACAUGUGAGGGUGCAUACACACACACACACAAACACACCCCUCUAUAUCUCCAUCCUUUGCUGUAAAAAUAGUUUGAGUCAGAGAAAAGCUUCACUUUAACAGAGAGUGUACAUUACUUGAGUUUAUAUUAAUAGAAUAUACUUUCCUUUGAGAACACCUUCUCUAACAUUGAACUGUGAGAAUUUAGUUCUCUCCACAUCCCUAUUCUUCUACUCUUCCUGUUUCCUCUUUACUCUCCUAUAUUCCUCUUUCUUCUCUUUCUCACCUCCCUUCUCUUAUAGAAAAUCAAGUAGGUUAGCAUAAAUUUUCUCCAAUUUACUGGCAUAGGACGUCCUGGCAAAUUUUGCAAAAAUUAACAUCUUGAAGAACAAUGAAUCUUUAAUUAUAUCAGCUAAAAUAUUUUAUUUAGAUGAAUGUUAAGAGUCAGAUAAACCAUACCUAUGAUUUUAAAAAUCUAAACAUAAUUAUGCAUGUGAAAAGAUUUGUGCCUGUGCCAUACGUGCUCAAAACUUAAAUGGGAUUUUAAGGCUGUAAUUUCCUUUUUCUAUAUAUCUUGCUUUUUUGUUUUGUUCUGUUUUUGCAUUUCAACAGGCACUGAUAAUGAUAAUGUGCAUAUGGCAUAGCUGUAUUCUCUUUUUAUAUGUCAAUUCAUAUGCUCACCUCCUACUUGAACAUUUCCCUGAGGACACAACAAUAAGACAGAUUUCCCUUUUCUAAAGGUUAAUGCCAGUAACAGCCUCAGUCUCUAACUUCAUAGAGAUAAUUAUUACUAAUUGUUAAGAAAAAAGGGCAGAUGUUUGGUUUCAUUUCUGUCUUGCAACUUUCUUCAAAUUAUUUAAACUCUCUAAGAUUCUGUUUCUUUACUUGUACAAUGGAGAAAGUAGCAUUACCAUCCUUUCUGGUUGCGGCCAGGACUAAAACAUAAAAUUCAAGGAGUACACAGAGCACUGUGCCUGGAACUGAGCAAACAUCAGCAAAUGUCAAUUGCUAUCUAAGAUAACAGUCAUGUGAUGAAUUUCUUAAACACAAUUAGAUUCUAAACUCUUGGAAAGCAGCAAGAUUGUCUUGGCUAAUCUUCUAUUUAUUACUCUUAAAAUGUAACAUUUUGUCUUUUAUAUAGAGAAUAUGUAGUGAAUUGAUACAUGAUUGAUACUUAUUCUUUUAUUAAAAAUUAUUUUUAAGCAUCUAUAGGGUGCCAGGCAUUGUUUUAGGAAUAAAAAAUAUUACAGUAUAUAAUAAAAGAAAUGUAGAAGCCACUAAAUUAAAAAAAAACACACAACAAUAACUAAAAGACAAAAAAGUCCUUACUUUGUAUUCAGAUUUAUCAUUCUUGCUUCUAUGACACAUUUCUCCAAAAGUACUGCUUGCAAUCUGCAAAAUCACAAAAUAGAUAACCUAGCUUGUUAGAAUUGCAAAUAGACUGGUGUAAACUAAGUCUGUCUUUACUGAGCACAAAGUCCUGAAAUGUCAGUGCCUGUUUAAUACUAAUGUAUGUUGAGUUUUUAAGAGUGUGAUGCAUGGGUGGUAUUCCUAAAUCUUUGUUCAUAUGACAUGCAUUCAUAUUAUGCUGCACUUAAGGUUUCUUUGGAACAAUCUAGUGUGUGUUUUUUAAGAGCCAAGGGAAUUAAUAUGGACACAUGAAUGAGGUAUGUUUCUCUUAGUUACAAAGCAGCAAGAAUGAUCCCUUUCAAAAUUCAUAUUAAAUUUAAAUACAUGCUUGCUCUAAAGCCUCCAGUAGAUUUUCAUUAUAAUUUCAAUGAAAUUCAAAUUUUGACCAAGGUCCUUGGCUAUUUCUUUAAUAUGAUUCCUUACCAGUCUUCCUUCUUUCCUUUAAAUAUAAAUCCAUUAUAGAAAAGGUAUUGUUUUUUACAUAGGGGCAAAAAUACAUAUAGGAAAAUUUCUAAUUCAUAUUUGCUAAAUAAUAAAUGAAUGAUCAAAAGAACUAAGAGUUCUUUUCUGUUGAGAAAAAAAAUCCUCAGGGAAGCCUGCAUAUAUGGCAUUGUCUUACAUUAAUUAGCUGCAUAGUUUCAGAAAUGCUAUGUACACUGAAUUUAAUAACAGCGGACUUAAAAGAAAGGUACAUCUACCACAGGGGUGUGCACAACUGGUCAUUAAAGUUUUACACAUGCCAUAUGGUAAAAACACCCUAUCUUCCACUUAAGAUUAUAUUUAGUAGAAUAGAACUUUUUCAGGUGCAGUCUCAGCUGACAAUUUAUUAGGCAGGAUAGUCUGGCAGAAAAACCCUGUGUAUAUAUUAAGAAUCCCUCCUGAAAGACCCUGUAGCCUAAUUGUGAUAGUCAUCAAGGUUACACAGCUAUUAGGUACACAUUUUUAUUCUACCAUCAGAAAGAGAAAGAUUCUCUUCCUUACUGCAAAAAUGUAUAAAAACAUGCAGUCUACACAUUUUUACAUCUUUUCACAAUGACAAAAUGUAUUGUGAUUUACAAUUCAGGUUCUGGGUAGGAAAUACUUGGGUUUAAAUAAGAGUGGCACCACUUACUUGACAUUUGAUGUUGCAUGAUUCAGCCUGUAAAAAGGUACUGGAUUUGUUUUGCUAUUACCUCAUUAUAAGUUGACUUUCAUUCUUAGUGAGGGCCCAAUACAUGUUGGAAGGCACUUUCCUCAUAGCAAUAGUUUCCCUGCUAAUGGUGGUGUGGCUGGUGGUCAAACAAACUAAACUUGUGGCAACUUGUGGAACGGAUUCUUUCAAAGUGUCUGGGUUUAUAACAUAUGAAAUCAGGCCUACAUAGCUACCAAUACCACCUCAAGCAACUUGAGAUCUCCUGGAAUAUAUGGUUUAAUGGGUAGGGCUUUAAAAACGAAAGCUUGAAUCUCUUUCAAAACCCUUUCUUUAGAUGCACUGACUAACUCAGAAUAGGCAAAUAUUUAAGGUACUAAUGAACAGUAGGGCCAUCUUCCUAUGUAGAGUAUGGGCAGCAUGGGCAGUCCUCAGAAUAUAAAGAUAUUUACCAAGUCUUUUGCCUAUUUCUGUGAGGUAGCAGAUGCGAUGUGCCUUAACUUGUUCUUUUUUUGUUGGAAACUGGCCUAUGAUGUAUACCAUUAACACUGUAUCCUAUAAUUUCAUGACUAUGGCACUAACCUUGAUGAUCUAUCUACUUGAAUGUAAUUAUACUCCUGGUUUAUUAUUUAGACCUGAAUGAAAGAAUGUAUUAUUUGUGAUUUCACUUGGAAUUUUCACUUUGUUCUUAUUUCAUAAGUCUUGGAAUUCUAGGCAUAUAGAUCCAAGUUACAUAUCAAGAAGAAAUGAACUAAGGAAAUGAACACAGGAUGGAAAUAGAGUUGGCCAAUGGCCCAUAGGUUCCUUUGAGGUAUGGACUGAGUUGCUAUUUAUCAUUGAAAUACCAUAUCCUUCUACAGUAACAAAGGAAAGUGAUAGCGAACUUAAAAAGAGUGAAGCAAUAUUUUAUUGAGGCCCUAAGAAAUUUUGCAAGAGCUUGUCUAAAAACAAACAAAAAUAUUAAUAAAUAUUAAAAUUGCUGGGGAUGUGGCUCAGUGGUUAAGUGCCCCUGAGUUCAAUCUCUGGUACCAAAACAAAAACAAAUAACAGUGAAAAGGGAAUUCAUUAUAAUUCCUUAGUUCAGAGAAUCUUGUAUCAACUUGGCCUCUAAUUUGUAGCCAGGAGAAGGCACUACAUUACACAAAAUAUCUCAGCAUUCAUAGCAGAUAGUAUGUAAAUAAAGAUGGUAGGAAAAAUUCUUAGUAUGAAAAUUGAAAAAUUGCCUCAAAACUGGCCAUUGUAGUCAAAACCACUGGAGAAUUUUCAAUACACACACACACACACACACACACACACACACAGACUCUAUUAGAUGACUGAUGCUGACUUAAAAAAAGCAAUAGCAAUGAUUUUGCAAGAGUUGAAAGGAAGUUACACUUGGGUCAUUGAAAACAGUAAAUGUUAUGUUCUAAAUGGUUACAUUACCAACAGUGACACAUUUUUAAUAUAGUCAGUCUGUUAUCUUCAUCUGUAAAUGAGAAUUCUGCGUAGCAUAUUACAAUUCUUCAUGUGGAAGUCCUCCAGGAUAUGACACACAGGUAAGAAUUUAUAUUCCUUAAAGUAAAGUUUGCAGGGACAAAACUAUCAGCUACACACUACUAUCAGGAUUGUAAUGAAAGAACUUGAGCAAUUCCGGAGACAUUGUGAAAGGACAAUAUACUUUGGUAACAUUAAAAAUAUAGGUACCUGCCUGGAUAACUUGACCAUACUAAAAAAUAUUAUAAUCAGAAAUUUUCCCACUAAGGAAAAAAUGUUUUCUUUUUCUGAAAAUGUGUAAUCUAUUCUUUCUAUAUCAGAAACCAAAAAUGGAAGGAAUUCACCCAGUUAAUCCCUAAGACCACCACCACCAACAAAAACCCGAGAAGCUAAAGAACAAAUUUAAGGAUUUAUCAGUAUUACUGAGUUAUGGGAUCUCUUGGCAUCUGUAAGCUACUUCACUUUGGUAAUUUAAUUUCAUGCUUGCCUACUCCUGUAAAACUCCUGAGUGAAGGUCUCAUCAAGAUUUGGAAUGGUCACAAAAAUGUCAAAACUGACUCAAGAAGUUGAAGAAUGAACUCUUUCCUUCAGCACUUAAUAAUCUUUUCCUUCUUUUCAUUAUUAUUAAUGAAUUAUAUGUAUUAAACUAGGGAUAUUAACUCUGAAUAUAAUAGGUAUAAUCCUUUGUUUAUUCCACAAUAAAAAAAGAAAAAAAAACUUGUCCCCUAGGAAACAAGAUGUUGUUUUGAGAAAUAAGCUCUCCACAUGUUAUUUAAAGAAAUAAUUUAUUGAUGUAUAAAAUUUAAUAUGCAAAACAUUUUAGAUUUUACUUUAGGCUUGUAUUUCAAAUAUAUAACACUUUUAAAUUUUUUUCUAGACCAGUAUAAUAGAUUUCUACUAUAUUUUUAGUAAAUUGCUACUAAAGAACUUAUAAUAAAUUGUUAUUAUUUCACAUAAACUUGAAGAAAAAUAAUAAUGUAAAACCUUUCUUAAUUUCACAUGGAAAAAAUAUGAAUUCAACAUAAUAGUUCUACAUAAUAUGAGAAAACAAAUGUGAAACUUAAAAAUAACAGAUAAUAUAGUAUUUAGAGAAAUAAAAGAACAUUCUGGAGUGUCUACCUAAUAUUGUGUUGAAAACAUGGAUCAUAUAUACCCGUGAGGUAUUUAGAAGGCUGCAUAAUUCUGACAUAUUUUAUUCAGCUAUUUUUGCUGGGUUUACAAAUGAAAAUGAAUGGAGUAUUAAGUGGGGAAUGAAAGGGGAAUAAAAGAUUGAAAUAUAAAUGAAGAGUCCAGAUUUUGGAUAUGCAGCCAGUCCCCCCAAAACAAUAAAUGCCAAAUGUUCUGUCUGAUAUGUUAAUGUUAACCCCCAACAAGGGAGGAUGGGAAGGGAAAGAAUAGAAGUCCAUUGGAUUAGACAAAGGGGAACAAAGGAAAGGGAAGAAAAAGGGGAAUAGGAAGGACAGUAGAAUUAAUUGUCCAUACUUUUUUGUAGCCUUGUACAGGAAUACACAACCAGGUUUAUUCUGUGUCAUGUACAAUCACAAGAAUAGGAUAUUAAUUAGAAUAAGUUAUACUCCAUAUAUGUUUAAUAUGCCAAAAUAUAUUCUAUUGUCAUGUAUAUCUAAAAAGAAUGAAUAAAAUAAAACAAUUUAAAAAAAGAUUUUAGAUAUACAGCAUUAGCUAGAGAUAUUAUCUUUUAAAGCUAUUUUAGAAUUCUAAUGUAGCAGUGAUAGACACAAGAAUGUAUACUCAGAUCCUUCAUCAAGGAUACACUUGAUGCCAAACUGCAGAACUACAAUCAACAUUCUUCUGUUUUCAUUAUCUUCAGGUCUGAGCUGCAGGGAGCUGCUUUACCUGAAGCCUGGUAUGCAGUGCUGGUGACAGUAGAGGGGGAAUGCAUAUGUCCACUGAGUGAGCACUGUGGUUGUAAAGAUCCAGCUAUUGCAGCCCAACUUGGUAAACUUUGUUGGGCAAAACUCACUUUAGAGUCACCUACUUGGCUGGUUAAGGCUUUAUCAGAACUGCAUCAAUAUUUAUUUCUAUCUAUGCUUAAUCCUUCUCUGUCCUUUUUUUCUUUCACAGGUGCUGUUCCUUAAUAAAUAUUUUAUACCCAAA